GACGUAGGGCGCGAGCGUUGUCCGGAUUUAUUGGGCGUAAAGAGCUCGUAGGCGGCUCGUUGCGUCAACCGUGAAAACCCGGGGCUUAACUUCGGGCUUGAGGUUGAUACGGGCGGGCUGGAGUUCGGUAGGGGAGACUGGAAUUCCUGGUGUAGCGGUGAAAUGCGCAGAUAUCAGGAGGAACACCGGUGGCGAAGGCGGGUCUCUGGCCCGAUACUGACGCUGAGGCACGAAAGCGUGGGGAGCAAACAGG
rnacentral:rRNA from 1 species